UGUGGUUAAAUUCCUCAGCCAGCAGAAAUAAGCCUGAUUCAACAUGAAAAACGCCGGCAUCGCCGGCGUUUUUUU
rnacentral:misc_RNA from 1 species